rnacentral:tRNA from 1 species
GUUGUGGCUCAGCGGUACAGCGCUCUCCUAGCAUGUGCGAGGCCCUGGGUUCGAUCCUCAGCACCACA